rnacentral:tRNA from 1 species
GGACAUAGCUCAAGAGGUAGAGCGCGUGCUUCGCAUACACAAGGUCCUGGGUUCAAUCCCCCAGUGCCUCCU